rnacentral:rRNA from 1 species
UACGUAGGGUGCGAGCGUUGUCCGGAAUUAUUGGGCGUAAAGAGCGAGCAGGCGGUUUGGAAAGUUGGACGUGAAAUUUUAGGGCUUAACCCUAAAGGGUCGUCCAAAACUCCCAGACUAGAGUGCAGGAGAGGAAAGCGGAAUUCCCGGUGUAGUGGUGAAAUGCGUAGAUAUCGGGAGGAACACCAGAGGCGAAGGCGGCUUUCUGGCCUGUAACUGACGCUGAGGCGCGAAGGCUGGGGUAGCGAACAGG